GACGAACGCUGGCGGCGUGCUUAACACAUGCAAGUCGAACGGAAAGGCCCUGCUUUUGUGGGGUGCUCGAGUGGCGAACGGGUGAGUAACACGUGAGUAACCUGCCCUUGACUUUGGGAUAACUUCAGGAAACUGGGGCUAAUACCGGAUAGGAGCUCCUGCUGCAUGGUGGGGGUUGGAAAGUUUCGGCGGUUGGGGAUGGACUCGCGGCUUAUCAGCUUGUUGGUGGGGUAGUGGCUUACCAAGGCUUUGACGGGUAGCCGGCCUGAGAGGGUGACCGGCCACAUUGGGACUGAGAUACGCCCCAGAGUCCUACUGGAGGCAGCAGUGAGGAAUAUUGCACCAUGGGCGGAAGCCUGAUGCAGCAACGCCGCGUGCGGGAUGACGGCCUUCGGGUUGUAAACCGCUUUCGCCUGUGACGCAGCGUGAGUGACGGUAAUGGGUAAAGAAGCACCGGCUAACUACGUG
rnacentral:rRNA from 1 species